rnacentral:lncRNA from 1 species
UCCGGAGACAUAUCCAUGUUAUAUCUGUAGUGCUGGAUGAAAGCGUCAGAUAAGUCUUUGAAACAUUGAAUUUUGCUUUGAUCAAGGCUCAAGUACCAUUUAGAGGGGGCACACUUCAAGCUAUCUUGGAAACAAUGUAUCAUAAAUUUAUCAUUUUCGACGUGUGUAGUUUUUUAAUAUUACAUAAUGAGAUGACUCUUAGGGCAUGAGUGGCCCUCGUACUUAUUGAAGUCAGGG